rnacentral:rRNA from 1 species
AUUGAACGCUGGCGGCAGGCCUAACACAUGCAAGUCGAACGAGUGGCGGACGGGUGAGUAAUGUCUGGGAAACUGCCUGAUGGAGGGGGAUAACUACUGGAAACGGUAGCUAAUACCGCAUACCAUCAGAUGUGCCCAGUUGGGUUUAGCUAGUUGGUGGGGUAACGGCUCACCAAGGCGACGAUCCCUAGCUGGUCUGAGAGGAUGGCCAGCCAAACUGGAACUGAGACACGGGCCAGACUCCUACGGGAGGCAGGAGUGGGGGAUAUUGCACAAAGGGGGCAAGCCUGAUGCAGCCAUGCCGGGUGUAUGAAGAAGGCCUUCGGGUUGUAAAGUACUUUCAGCGGGGAGGCGUUACCCGCAGAAGAAGCACCGGCUUACUCCGUGCCAGCCGCCGCGGUAAUUC